rnacentral:rRNA from 1 species
CAAGUCGAACGCGAAAGCCCCUUCGGGGGCAAGUAGAGUGGCGCACGGGUGAGUAACACGUAGGUAAUCUACCUUUGGAUCGGGAAUAACCACCGGAAACGGUGGCUAAUACCGAAUAAUGCAGCGGCACCUAAUGGUGACAGUUAUUAAAGCGGGGGAUCGCAAGACCUCGCGUCUGAAGAGGAGCCUGCGGCAGAUUAGCUAGUUGGUAAGGUAACGGCUUACCAAGGCGAUGAUCUGUAGCCGGCCUGAGAGGGCGGUCGGCCACACUGACACUGACAUACGGGUCAGACUCCUACGGGAGGCAGCAGUCGGGAAUUUUGGGCAAUGGGCGAAAGCCCGACCCAGCAACGCCGCGUGAAGGAUGAAAUCCCUCGGGAUGUAAACUUCGCAAGAACGGGAAGAAUAAACCGGUGCAAAUACCACCGGUGAUGACGGUACUGUUUGUAAGCUCCGGCUAACUCCGUGCCAGCAGCCGCGGUAAUACGGGGGGAGCAAGCGUUGUUCGGAUUUACUGGGCGUAAAGGGCGCGUAGGCGGCACCGCAAGUCGACUGUGAAAUCUCCGGGCUUAACCCGGAAAGGUCAGCCGAUACUGCGGGGCUAGAGUGCAGAAGGGGCAACUGGAAUUCUCGGUGUAGCGGUGAAAUGCGUAGAUAUCGAGAGGAACACCUGCGGCGAAGGCGGGUUGCUGGGCUGACACUGACGCUGAUGCGCGAAAGCUAGGGGAGCGAACGGGAUUAGAUACCCCGGUAGUCCUAGCCUUAAACGAUGGAUGCUUGGUGUCUGGGGUUUUAUAGUCCCCGGGUGCCGUCGCUAACGCUUUAAGCAUUCCGCCUGGGGAGUACGGUCGCAAGACUGAAACUCAAAGGAAUUGACGGGGACCCGCACAAGCGGUGGA